rnacentral:lncRNA from 1 species
ACAGUCACCUAGGAGACAUGGCUCUGAGGAUGGUUGGUAGGGAUUUGUUGGAUUAGGUUACCUGAGCUAGAAAGCUCAACCCUGAAUAGGGGAUAGAGUCCCCCGGACUUGAGGAAGAAUGAGAAAGCAAGCUGAGCACAGGCAUUUAUCCAUGGCCCUGCUUCCUGAACUUAACAUGCCAUAUGAGCAACUGUCUCUUGCUCCUGCUUCUGUGACUUCUCAUGAUAAAUCUACCUUCCAAAUGUAAGCCAAAAUCGAUCCAUUCAGGUGUUAGCCACAGCCACAAGAAAGGCACCAACACUAGAGACUCUCUCCCUAGAAAACAGUCUCACUAGUGCUAAACCUUCCGUCCAGGUAGGACCCUGCGAACAGAAGAUCAUAUUGCUUUUGAAUAUUUGAUGUCACUCAGGAAAGGAAACACUGUCUACUGUGAGGUGUUUUCCAACCCCGAAACUCUAUCAAAACAUCUCCCCAUCAGAAAGAACACACUGUGAACAUGAAUGGCUACUAAGUCCUCAUGUGUCCAAGUUCCUCUUGCAAGCCCACAUAUCACCAUCGUGUGGUAUCAUCAACAUAGAAGAAGAGGAAAACUGGGAGAUCAACGCUGCUCCCCCUACCUCUCAUAGCUCCCACCAGUGCGAGUGAGCUCAGGUGCUUAUGGAAGGCCUGUCCCAGGUCUCUGAACUGCACUCCCUUCAGCUUGACGAAGCUGGGUUCCUCUGGGAAGGACUGAAUGAUGACUCUGGCCCCCAGAUCCCUGGCUCCCAGCAUCUUCUCACUCUUAGAAUACAAACAGUGCUUCAAGUUACCUGAAACAUAUAAUGAUGUCCAGGGGAAAACAUAGAGCAUACUUCUAGAUAAAUCUCUGUUAUAAUGUCCAGCAUUAUUUAAUGCUAAUGUAUCGCAUCAAGAGAUAAAUACCCAGAAUAUAAUUCACUUAAACCCUCAUCUUCCUCCAUGUAAACCUAUCCAAGCUGAAGUCUGAGUACCUCAGGGGGUUCCUGAGAUGGAGGUCUGCAUUGUGGACAGUUUCUACAACAACAACUUCUGUUGCUUCAGCUCCUGCUACAGUCAUCCCACUGGUAAUGACAGCCUCAUCCCCAGGCUUCCAGUCCACAGCUUCCCCCAGAGUCAACACUUUGUCUCCUGCAUGUGCAGCUGCUUGAAGAUAGGUGACAGUAACCUCUGGAACUGAACCUAAAGCCACCAAGAGAAAACUUGUUCAGAUACUUUGAUUGUUAGUAAGGAUAUGAUUUUAUAAAAGGUGCUUGGAACACCA